rnacentral:misc_RNA from 1 species
GGAAGUAGUUUGCCCUCUAGUGUUCCUUUUCAAGCUGACUCUUUGUCUGACGAUGAUUUGAUGUUGUUGGGAAGAGAAACCUUGAAGGCAUGGGAAGCACUUAGAUCUGGAGUUCAGAGGCUAUUGUUAGUAUAUCCAGCAAAGGUCUGUGAACAUUGCUCAGAAGUUCAUAUAGGGCCUUCUGGACAUAAGGCUCGUCUUUGUGGUGUAUUUAAGUUUGAAAGUUGGCGAGGAAGUCACUUUUGGAAGAAGGCAGAAGUGGAUCAUUUGGUUCCUUCAAAAACCGUGUGGUACCGCCGACCCCAGGAUCCUCCAUUACUUCUGGAUGACGGGCGGAACUACUAUGGGCAUGCUCCCGCUGUUGUUGAUCUGUGUACUAAGGCUGGUAUUAUUGCUCCUUCCAAGUACCAUUGCAUGAUGAAACUUGAAGGUCUAUCAGCCCCGUCUCUGUGAAAGGAAUGAUGGGAUCUUUCCUGCUCUUAUUAAUGCAGUUCAAAAAAAC